GACGAACGCUGGCGGCGUGCUUAACACAUGCAAGUCGAACGGAAAGGCCCUGCUUUUGUGGGGUGCUCGAGUGGCGAACGGGUGAGUAACACGUGAGUAACCUGCCCUUGACUUUGGGAUAACUUCAGGAAACUGGGGCUAAUACCGGAUAGGAGCUCCUGCUGCAUGGUGGGGGUUGGAAAGUUUCGGCGGUUGGGGAUGGACUCGCGGCUUAUCAGCUUGUUGGUGGGGUAGUGGCUUACCAAGGCUUUGACGGGUAGCCGGCCUGAGAGGGUGACCGGCCACAUUGGUACUGAGAUACGGCCCAGACUCCUACGGGAGGCAGCAGUGGGGAAUAUGGCACAAUGGGCGGAAGCCUGAUGCAGCAACGCCGCGUGCGGGAUGACGGCCUUCGGGUUGUAAACCGCUUUCGCCUGUGACGAAGCGUGAGUGACGGUAAUGGGUAAAGAAGCACCGGCUAACUACGUG
rnacentral:rRNA from 1 species